CAGCAGCCGCGGUAAUACGGAGGGCGCGAGCGUUACCCGGAUUUACUGGGCGUAAAGGGCGUGUAGGCGGCCUGGGGCGUCCCAUGUGAAAGGCCACGGCUCAACCGUGGAGGAGCGUGGGAUACGCUCAGGCUAGAGGGUGGGAGAGGGUGGUGGAAUUCCCGGAGUAGCGGUGAAAUGCGCAGAUACCGGGAGGAACGCCGAUGGCGAAGGCAGCCACCUGGUCCACUUCUGACGCUGAGGCGCGAAAGCGUGGGGAGCAAACCGGAUUAGAUACCCCCAGUAGUCCCUGUCUCUUAUA
rnacentral:rRNA from 1 species